AACGAACGCUGGCGGCAUGCCUAACACAUGCAAGUCGAACGAGACCUUCGGGUCUAGUGGCGCACGGGUGCGUAACGCGUGGGAACCUGCCCUUAGGUUCGGAAUAACUCCCCGACAGGGGUGCUAAUACCGGAUAAUGUCUUCGGACCAAAGAUUUAUCGCCUUUGGAUGGGCCCGCGUUGGAUUAGCUCGUUGGUAGGGUAAAAGCCUACCAAGGCGACGAUCCAUAGCUGGUCUGAGAGGAUGAUCAGCCACACUGGGACUGAGACACGGCCCAGACUCCUACGGGAGGCAGCAGUGGGGAAUAUUGGAAAAUGGGCGAAAGCCUGAUCCAGCAAUGCCGCGUGAGUGAUGAAGGCCUUAGGGUUGUAAAGCGCUUUUACCCGGGAUGAUAAUGACAGUACCGGGAGAAUAAGCUCCGGCUAACUCCGUG
rnacentral:rRNA from 1 species